rnacentral:snoRNA from 1 species
CUGAAGCCAAUUACGCUGAUUGUCCCGUUCUCCCCAUGGGGACCCGAUGUGAAGUGGCUGCAGACAGCAGCCUCCUCGGUAGUGUACAUGGCCUGUUGUUUGUAUGGGUUGCCCUAAGGGACCUUGAAGACAGCC